GCUGGGCUCCCGAGGGCCGGGAGGGAGCGGCUGCCUCAGCUGAGCGCACCCAGCACGGGGCCUUGGCGGGCAGUGGUGCCACCACCCAGGGAACCCGAGGCCCCGGGGCAGCUCCUGCCAGGCCACGGUCAAGGGCACGUUUUCCGCUCCAGGAAUCUUUCCAGGGGUCCUGUGAGAAGAGUUGUGACCAAACUGCCAGCUACAAACGGACGUCAGAGCCCCCAGAGAGAGACACGGAGCGUGGCGGGUAGAGUGUGAACCGGGUGAACGGAGUGUGAAACUGUUGUCUCCUCUGAGCCAAUAAAGGACACAGGUGAGGGACUGGCCAGUUCUUGGGUCCUCGGGGACUGAGGAGCUCGUCACGUGUGUUUUCUUUGGGUCACCACCUUUUUGCUGACCCUUUUGUUCUUAGGGGCCUCUGCCACUUGCUGCCUCCCCUGGAAAGCCAGACUGGGGGAAAUAAGAGGGAAAAUCAAGGGACGCCUGGGUGGCGCAGCGGUUUAGCGCCUGCCUUUGGCUCAGGGCCUGAUCCUGGAGACCCGGGAUCGAGUCCCACAUCGGGCUCCGUGCAUGGAGCCUGCUUCUCCCUCUGCCUGUGUCUCUGCCUCUCUCUCUCUCUCUCUGUCUCUCAUAAAUAAAUAAGUAGAAUCUUAAAAAAAAGAAAAAAGAAGGAAAAUCAUGUACCUCUGACAGAGGGAGAGGGAGAUUGCCAAACCAUUCCACACACAAUAGGAUAUUGAAAUUCCUUACACAUCCAUCCAGCACUUUACAGAUUACAAACUACCUUUAUAUUCGUUAUCUCAACUACUCCUCACAGCAACCUGCCAAGGGAGACAGAGGCUACCUGUCUACCUAUGAGUAGGUAUGAAUUAUCUAUGAGACCAUUAGUCCCGUUCUGCAGAUGAGAAACUGGUCCUUAUGGUGGUUAAGCGGCAGAACCAGAGUCUGACCUCGGAAGCACAGAAUCAUAGCAUCACAGAGUUAGAAGGCACCUUCACAGCAGUAACCCAGGGCAUCCUUCUCUCAGAGCCUGAAUCACCUUAUAAGGUUUCUGAGAUUUCCUCUUCUUCUUGCUUGGCCUCUUCCAAUGGUGAGAAACUCACAAUUCUUUGAGGCAACCCAUUAUUAACACUGAGCAAAGCCCUUCUCCUUGUGACAUUCAGCUCUUAAGUCAUCUCUGCCCUCGAGAACUGUACCAAAGGAAGGCAAAUUCUAAUUCCCCUUCUUUUUGAAAUUUGGGGUUAUCACUCUUGCUCAUCUCUUCCAGGUUAAAUACCUGCACUUCUUUCUCCUGUUACUCAUGAUGGUUCAUGAUGUAGUUACUGGGUACAGUGCCUGAAAUAUAUAGUAGAUACUCAAAUGUCUGUUGAAUUGGUUCUCUGGCCCUUGGUCCUGUGCUCCUUCCCUGACCACAGUUAGCCCCCAUGUUGUAAUCUGUUUCUCAUUUGCUUGUUUAUUUAAAUAAUAGGGAGAAAGACACCAUCAUAUGGUUUCUACUUUCGAAUCACAGAGUUUUCAGAAUAAUUUGAAAACAUAAUCAAAACUGUCCAGAUUUCAAACAGCUUUUAAUUAAUUUGCGCUAACAAGACUUGUUCUCUGACUUAAUUGCUCAUUAGAGAGUUGAAUUCACUGAGCAUCUCCUGUACAUAAGACGCCACACGGAGCACUGUGGAGAGUGUCCAUGUAAUUAAAACCUGUAGUGGAGGCCGGGUUAAUGUGAGGUCUGACUGGAAGACCCUGCAGGAGUGUAUCAUGCAGUAGUGCUGUUUUGCCCAUUAAAAGAAGCAGCAUUCAAUUCUAGGGCACCACCAGAUGAAAAGCCAGGCUCUGUCUUCCAAAGACAGUUCCAGUGGAAGCCCUGACUAUUUUUAGCUGGUCUCGGUGUGAGAAACAAGCACCCGUGUCAAAGUGCUGAAGCUGUGUCAUUCUCAAUGAGGCAGGAUGCAGCCAGCUUCGUGCCUCUUACAUAAGCGCUGUGCCAGGACGAACAGCAAACAAUCCUGGUAAGUCAAGAGCCAGGGAACAGAGGGUGAGUCGUGCCCUGCGUGUAUAAAGGAAACCAGAGUCAAUGGCUCCCCAUCGCAAGGGACUAUGCUUACUCAUUAAAGUAAUAACCCUAGAAGGGUUUUGAUGGCAAAUAAGUCAAACCAAGCACCUAAACACACAAUUCCAGACAAGGCUCUCUGGUUUAAAUUAUCCCACUAUCACAGACUGGAUUGAAAGCCAUUUGAAAUUUGUACAACUUGAUCAGGUUUUCAAGUCGUUCCCAAAACUCUGUGGUUUGGAAGUAUAUGUUUUUCCCAUUCUAUUACCUAAAUAAACAAAUGUUUAAAAACCUACUCUCUUUAUAUCGCCAGUGCUAAUACUUUAGAAAUGGAGUGAUAUUAGCCCUUUUCUCCUCUUGAGGUUCACAAAAAGCUGCAUUUGCAAAGGGGUAUUUCAUAUGAUAGUCUUAAGGGCAGAGGAGCUUCGAAAUUGAGUGGUGACCUCCCUUCACACAGAACAUCUGCUCUGUCAUCACAUGGGAGGUGAUAGAGUCUUGACAGGUACAGCAUGGAGGGGACUUCGAGUCAAGUAGGACCCUCCAUUCAGCAAGGAGGAGGACAGCCCUGAGUCAAAAGAGAAAUUGUAGCGAAAUAUGGCAGAUGGUUCUUACUGGAGGACACUUGGAUGCCCUGGAGCCUGUGCCCAUAAUACUACUGACUGUGCUUUCUCUUUUCCUCUUCAGAAGAACUCAUCCAUGGCCUUCUUACAUAAACCCAAGGAGACCUUUGGGGGCCAGUUGGUCCAACACACUCAAACGAAGAAAGUGAGAUUAGGCGAGGUUGUGUGGUUUGCAAAAAAAAUAGCAGACCCAGACGUAGAAGGCAGGACUGCAGCACCCAGUCUGGCCCUCUUUCUUGUUUAUCAUGCUGCCUCCUGAUGUCUGGGAAGAUUCACGCAGUGAAUGUGUAGCUGCCCACAGCUGGGCGUUUUCACCCCUUCACUUGAGUGGUUUUAUCUACAGGUGGAGGGAGAGGUACCGAUCUCAGAAGAGUAUGGGUUAAAGACCGAGGUGGGGGUGCAGGGUAGUUUAGGAGGGAGAAUAGACAGAGCGAGGCAGGAAAGUGGGGAUAAAAAGGAAAAGAAGGUACUAGAGCAAUACAUGAAGAAUAAAAUGGGGGACGUGUAAGGAACAAAUACAGAGAGGAGAAAUUGCCUGAGAAGAAGAAGAAAAGGACUUUUUUCUAAUUAUGAGCAGCAAACUGAGGCAACCCAGGACCGAAAAGAAGUCAGAAAGAGGGAAGAAAGAAGAGCAAAUGGAGCCAGGGAAAGAGAAGGAAACAGGGAGAUCGUGAGAACCCCAGGAGCUGCGUGGGCUGAGUGUGUACAAGCAGAGGCUGGUGAAAUGGAUUAAAUGAUGUAACAUAUGGAAAGAGGACUUGUGUCCAGUAAGGCACAGGCUAAAUUGGAGACAUCAUGAUGAUUUCUGUGUGAUGCUUCCUCUGCUAUGUUCCCGGUGACUAAGGAGAGGGCCCCAGUGCUGAAUACUCCAUAAAUUCUUAUUUAAUUGGAUCGCUGAGAGAUGGAAGACAGAAGGGGAUGUGGCUCUCAAGCCAAGCCAAGGAUGUGUCAGCCCAUGGUCUCUAAUGGCAGAAGCAAGCUUGCUCCUACAAGACCAGGUAACAUAUAGAGGUAGCCGGCAGCACUUCCCUGAGUAAUUAACGGGCACAAGAGAAAAUUAAGUGCUGUGCUCUCCUACCUCAGGGUCUCCACAUCGUCUGUCCCUCUAGCUAGACCUCGUCCCAAUCUCCACUUUCUCCUCAGGUCUCAGCUUAAAUGUUCCUUCUUCCAGGAAGUUCCAUCUGACUUCCCCCCAAAAAGUUAGCUCCCCCAGGUACAAGCUGUCAGGACACUUGGCAUUUCUCCUUGGAAAUAUGUCUUUGAGCCACCACUACGUCAAACAUUAAUUAUUGAUUUUCUUGACAGACAGUGGGAACAGUAUUUUUCAUAUUUUAAAAAAUCACCGAAUUCUUAGUCCCUUGCACUUUUAAUAAAUAUAUUUGGAAGGAAAUCCCUGGGUGGCUCAGGGGUUGAGUGCCUGCC